UACGUAGGGUGCGAGCGUUGUCCGGAAUCACUGGGCGUAAAGAGCUCGUAGGCGGUUUGUUGCGUCGGCUGUGAAAUCCCGAGGCUCAACCUCGGGUCUGCAGUCGAUACGAGCAAACUAGAGUGUUGCAGGGGAGACUGGAAUUCCUGGUGUAGCGGUGAAAUGCGCAGAUAUCAGGAGGAACACCGGUGGCGAAGGCGGGUCUCUGGGCAACAACUGACGCUGAGGCGCGAAAGCGUGGGGAGCGAUCCGG
rnacentral:rRNA from 1 species